rnacentral:lncRNA from 1 species
CCAACUCCUCCUCUUAAUCUUAUGAUUAUUGAUUUUUGUUCCUACAAUAUUCGCGGGCUACAUAAUAAAGUAUCCUAUGUUAAGGAUUUUUUGAGCAUCAAUAAUAUCAAUUUUGUAGCCCUCUUGGAAACUCAUGUUAAACAGGAAGAUGCUAUCAUCGGUUAUUUCUCCCAGAUUUUCUUGGGUUUUUAAUUAUGCUUCCCAUGAUAAUGGACGCAUAUGGCUGGGUUAGGAUGCCAGUUUUUGGAAUGUGGUAGUCAUCAAUUCCUCUGCUCAGCAGAUCACUUGUUCUGUUAAUAAAACCGAUGGAAGUUGCUUUUGUUAUAUUACCUUGGUUUAUGCUUUUAAUAG